GGAGUUUGGACCGUGUCUCAGUUCCAAUGUGGGGGACCUUCCUCUCAGAACCCCUACCGAUCGAGGGCUUGGUGGGCCGUUACCCCGCCAACUACCUAAUCGGACGCAUCCCCAUCCCUUACCGAUGAAUCUUUGCUCCUCGUUAGAUGCCUGCAAAGGAGAACAUAGAGUAUUAAUCCGACUUUCGCCGGGCUGUGCCCUACUAAGGGGAAGGUUGGAUACGCGUUACUCACCCGUGCGCCGGUCGCCAUCUAUCAAAGCAAGCUUCGAUAAUGAUGCCCCUCGACUUGCAUGUGUUAAGCCUGUAGCUAGCGUUCAUC
rnacentral:rRNA from 1 species